UUCAUCGACCUGCUCUAUUGUCAAUGAAACCCAUAAUGGCAUCUCCACUUUGGACCAAUGCGCUACUCAAUUCCAUUUUUCUUCUCUCUUUUUGGAUUUCUCCCCCUCCGCUGAACUUUGGAUGAACUUUCUUGCCUGUGUUUCAAUGGAAGUUUCGCCUGGAACACAUUGAUUUUCUCCAUCUUUUGUUCUAAAGGAACAUUUCAUUCCAGCCCUCAUGUCCAAAAUUGGAAGCAUGUUUUUCUGCUGCAGUUCAUCAAAUAAAUACAAGAGAUUGGAUGAAAAACUUGGAAGAAAAAUGCUUGAAGUUAAAAAAAAUUUAGCUGGACAUGACAAUUUCAAGUCAUUAAAUGGCAUAAUCUUGAGAUUUCCCCAAUUCAAAGAAGGAUUACAAGACAUCAGAGGUGUAUUUGAACAGUAUGAUGAAGAUUCCAAUGGAAGCAUUGAUCCCGAAGAACUCAAAAAAUGCUUACAACAGCUGCAAAUGCAUAUGACCGAGGAGGAAGUCAAGGAUCUUUUCCACUCUUGUGACAUUGAUGGAAGUGCUGGAAUACAAUUCAACGAGUUCAUCGUUCUCCUAUGUCUUAUAUAUCUCCUCAAGGACCAGCAUUUGCCCAACAUAUCAAAGCUGGGUUCACCUCGACUUGCAGCAACUUUUGACACAAUUAUCCAAGCUUUCAUAUUUCUCGAUAAAAAUGGCGACGGAAAGCUCAACAAGAAAGAAAUGGUCAAGGCUUUGAAUGCUCCAUGCGAGAGAUCCCCUGCACGCAUUACACAGACUAGAUUCAGGGAAAUGGACUGGAACAACAGUGGGAAGGUCAAUUUCAGGGAGUUUCUAUUUGGUUUCAUUAACUGGGUUGGAAUUGACACUGACGAUGACCUCUCUCUUAUAUGAAACUUAAACAGGAUAAAGACUGGCUUAAAAAAUAAGAGUUUGAUAUUGUGAAGACUGACUCGAGAGGAUCAAUAAGGCGAAAAAAUGUUAUCAGACAUGAAUAUAGACAACUAUUAGACGUGGGUGUAUCAUUCUCUUAAAUUUUAGAGUAUAUAAACAAACAAUCAAACUUGAUGUUAGUGAAAAAGGGUAAUUGUGGUUUAUGGA